rnacentral:rRNA from 1 species
UUAUGGAGAGUUUGAUCCUGGCUCAGAACGAACGCUGGCGGCGUGCCUAACACAUGCAAGUCAACGAGAAGUCCGUAGCAAUACGGAUUGUAAAGUGGCGCACGGGUGAGUAAUACAUAGGUAACCUGCCCUCAAGUGUGGAAUAAUCCGCCGAAAGGCGGACUAAUACCGCAUGAGAAAGGGGGGAUUAAAGUCAUUCCCUUUUAAAGAUGGCCUCUGCUUGCAAGCUAUCGCUUGAGGAUGGGCCUAUGUCCCAUUAGCUAGUUGGUAGGGUAAUGGCCUACCAAGGCUAUGAUGGGUAGCCGGUCUGAGAGGAUGAUCGGCCACACUGGAACUGAGACACGGUCCAGACUCCUACGGGAGGCAGCAGUGAGGAAUUUUGCGCAAUGGGCGAAAGCCUGACGCAGCAACGCCGCGUGGGGGAUGAAGGCUUUCGGGUUGUAAACCCCUUUCGAUCGGAAAGAAACUUUCAAUGGUGAAUAAUCAUUGAAACUGACGGUACCGAGAGAAGAAGCCACGGCUAACUCUGUGCCAGCAGCCGCGGUAAGACAGAGGUGGC